rnacentral:rRNA from 1 species
AAAUACUACCCAGUGACCGAUAGCGUAUAGUACUGUGAAGGAAAGGUGAAAAGCACCCCGGGAGGGGAGUGAAAAAGAACCUGAAACCCUGUGCCUACAAGCACCUAGAGCACGUCAAUGUGUGAUAGGGUACUUUUUGUAGAACGGUCCGGCGAGCGAUUGUAUGCAGCAAGGUUAAGGACUUAAGGUCUGGAGCCGAAGCGAAAGCGAGUUUGAAAAGGGCGUUAAGUUGCAUAUAAUGGGCCCGAAACCGGGUGACCUACCCAUGGUCAGGUUGAAGUGGAAGUAAAAUUCCAUGGAGGACCGAACCGACCUCCGUUGAAAAGGCGGCGGAUGAACUGUGGGUAGCGGAGAAAUUCCAAUCGAACCCGGAGAUAGCUGGUUCUCCCCGAAAUAGUUUUAGGACUAGCCUCAAGUUAGAUACCUGGAGGUAAAGCACUGAAUAGCCUAGCGGCCGAGAGGUUAGCGAAGCUUAUCAAACUCAGAAUGCCAGAGUAUUGAUGCUUGGGAGUCAGACAGUGUCAGAUAAAUGUCAUUGUCAAAAGGGAAACAGCCCAGAUCUACAGCUAAGGUCCCAAAGUCAGGUUAAGUGGAAAACGAUGUGAAGAUACGUAGACAACCAGGAUGUUGGCUCAGAAGCAGCCACUCAUUCAAAGAGUGCGUAAUAGCUCACUGGUCGAGCGUCUUUGCGCGGAGAAUUUAACGGGGCUAAACCUGACACCGAAGCUUAGGCAGCAUGUUUACAUGCUGGGUAGGGGAGCGUUGUAUACGCGGUGAAACAGUAGCGCAAGCGGCUGUGGAGUGUAUAGAAGUGAGAAUGCCGGAAUGAGUAGCGCGAAUGCAGUGAGAAUCUGCAUGGCCGAAAGCCUCAGGUUUCUGGAGGAAGGUUCGUCCGCUCCAGGUUAGUCGGGAGCUAAGGUGAGGCCUAACGGCGUAGCCGAUGCACAGACGGUAGAGAUUCCGUCACCACCAAAAGAGUUAAACACAGGGACACAUAUGAAGUCUCGGAGCCGGGUGUUGGUUCCGGUAGCGAUCGAGGGAAGUUAGUACCGAAGUCCGGGAUGGAAGAUGGCGAGAAAAGCUGUGUGUAUUUCUGCGGUGCCCGUACCGCAAACCGACACAGGUAGGUAGGAAGAAGAUUCUAAGGCCAACGGGAGAAGGGUUGUUAAGGAACUCGGCAAGUUGACCCCGUAACUUCGGAAUAAGGGGUGCUCACGAGAGUGAGCCGCAGAGAAUAGGCCCAGGCAACUGUUUACCAAAAACACAGGUUUGUGCUAAAUCGAAAGAUGACGUAUACGAGCUGACGCCUGCCCGGUGCUGGAAGGUUAAAAGGAGAUGUGCAAGCAUUGAAUUGAAGCCCCAGUGAACGGCGGCCGUAACUAUAACGGUCCUAAGGUAGCGAAAUUCCUUGUCAGGUAAGUUCUGACCCGCACGAAAGGCGUAAUGAUUUGGGCACUGUCUCAACAGCCCGCCCGGCGAAAUUGUAGUACCGGUGAAGAUGCCGGUUACCCGCGACAAGACGGAAAGACCCCAUGGAGCUUUACUGUAGCCUAAUAUUGGGUUUCGAUGUUGCAUGCACAGGAUAGAUGGGACACAGGGAAGCAGGUGCUUUGGCGCUUGUGGAGUGGCCGUUGGGAUACCAUCCUUGCGAUAUUGGAAUUCUAACCUGCGCCUUUGAAUCAAGGCGGGGGACAUUGUUAGGUGGGCAGUUUGACUGGGGCGGUCGCCUCCUAAAGAGUAACGGAGGCGUUCAAAGGUUCGCUCAGCUUGAACGGAAAUCAAGCAAAAGAGUGCAAACGCAGAAGCGAGCCUAACUGCGAGACUGACGGGUCGAGCAGUAACGAAAGUUGGAGUUAGUGAUCCGGUGGUAUGUGAGUGGAAAUGCCAUCGCUCAACGGAUAAAAGUUACCCUGGGGAUAACAGGCUGAUCUCCCCCAAGAGUCCACAUCGACGGGGA